CCUACGGGUGGCAGCAGUGAGGAAUAUUGGUCAAUGGACGCGAGCCUGAACCAGCCAAGUCGCGUGAGGGAAGACGGCCCUAUGGAUUGUAAACUUCUUUUGUCGGGGAGCAAAAGACCCCACGCGUGGCGUUCCGAGAGUACCCGAAGAAAAAGCAUCGGCUAACUCCGUGCCAGCAGCCGCGGUAAUACGGAGGAUGCGAGCGUUAUCCGGAUUUAUUGGGUUUAAAGGGUGCGCAGGCGGAAUGCCAAGUCAGCGGUAAAAUCGCGGGGCUCAACCCGGCUCUGCCGUGGAAACUGGCGUUCUUGAGUGGGCGGGAAGUAGGCGGAAUGCGUGGUGUAGCGGUGAAAUGCAUAGAUAUGACGCAGAACCCCGAUUGCGAAGGCAGCAUACCGGCGCCCAACUGACGCUGAAGCACGAAAGCGUGGGUAUCGAACAGGAUUAGAUACCCCAGUAGUC
rnacentral:rRNA from 1 species